UAAGAGGGUUCCCUUUUCUCCACACCCUCUUCAGCAUUUAUUUCUUAAAAAUACGGAACGCUUCACGAAUGUGCAUGUCACCCUUGUGCAGGGGCCAUGCUGAUCUUCUCUGUACUGUUCCAAUUUUACUAUAUGUGCUGCCGAAGCGAGCACA